rnacentral:rRNA from 1 species
UGGGGAAUAUUGGACAAUGGGGGGAACCCUGAUCCAGCCAUGCCGCGUGUGUGAAUAAGGCCUUAUGGGUGUAAAGCACUUUAAGCGAGGAGGAGGGUACUGGUAUUAAUACUACCAGGUACUGGACGUUACUCGCAGAAUAAGCACAGGCUAACUCUGUGCCAGCAGCCGCGGUAAUACAGAGGGUGCGAGCGUUAAUCGGAUUUACUGGGCGUAAAGCGCGCGUAGGUGGUUCGUUAAGUUGAAUGUGAAAGCCCCGGGCUCAACCUGGGAACUGCAUCCAAAACUGGCGAGCUAGAGUAGGGCAGAGGGUGGCUGAAUUUCCUGUGUAGCGGUGAAAUGCGUAGAUAUAGGAAGGAACACCAAUGGCGAAGGCGACCACCUGGGCUCAUACUGACACUGAGGUGCGAAAGCGUGGGGAGCAAACAGG